GAUGAACGCUAGCGGCAGGCUUAAUACAUGCAAGUCGAGGGGCAGCAUGAAUGUAGCAAUACAUUUGAUGGCGACCGGCAAACGGGUGCGGAACACGUACACAACCUUCCUAUAAGUGGGGAAUAGCCCAGAGAAAUUUGGAUUAAUACCCCGUAGCAUAAUGAUGUGGCAUCACAUUAUUAUUAUAGCUACGGCGCUUAUUGAUGGGUGUGCGGCUGAUUAGAUAGUUGGCGGGGUAACGGCCAACCAAGUCUACGAUCAGUAGCUGAUGUGAGAGCAUGAUCAGCCACACGGGCACUGAGACACGGGCCCGACUCCUACGGGAGGCAGCAGUAAGGAAUAUUGGUCAAUGGACGCAAGUCUGAACCAGCCAUGCCGCGUGAAGGAUUAAGGUCCUCUGGAUUGUAAACUUCUUUUAUCUGGGACGAAAAAAGGCUAUUCUUAGUCACUUGACGGUACCAGAUGUAUAAGCACCGGCUAACUCCGUGCCAGCCGCCGCAGUAAUAC
rnacentral:rRNA from 1 species